rnacentral:rRNA from 1 species
AGAUUGAACGCUGGCGGCAGGCCUAACACAUGCAAGUCGAGCGGUAGAGAGGUGCUUGCAUCUCUUGAGAGCGGCGGACGGGUGAGUAAUGCCUAGGAAUCUGCCUAGUGGUGGGGGAUAACGUUCGGAAACGGACGCUAAUACCGCAUACGUCCUACGGGAGAAAGCGGGGGACCUUCGGGCCUCGCGCCAUUAGAUGAGCCUGGGUCGGAUUAGCUAGUUGGUGAGGUAAUGGCUCACCAAGGCGACGAUCCGUAACUGGUCUGAGAGGAUGAUCAGUCACACUGGAACUGA